AUGCUCUCUUUGGCAGCACAUACGCUACACUCGUAACUGGACAGAGGAGAUUAGCAUGGCCCCUGCACAAAGCUGACACAAAUUCAUGAAAUGUUCCAUAUUUUU